GAUGAACGCUAGCUACAGGCUUAACACAUGCAAGUCGAGGGGAAACGGCAUUGAGUGCUUGCACUCUUUGGACGUCGACCGGCGCACGGGUGAGUAACGCGUAUCCAACCUUCCCAUUACUGUGGGAUAACCUGCCGAAAGGCAGACUAAUACCGCAUAGUCUUCGAUGACGGCAUCAGAUUUGAAGUAAAGAUUUAUCGGUGAUGGAUGGGGAUGCGUCUGAUUAGCUUGUUGGCGGGGUAACGGCCCACCAAGGCGACGAUCAGUAGGGGUUCUGAGAGGAAGGUCCCCCACAUUGGAACUGAGACACGGUCCAAACUCCUACGGGAGGCAGCAGUGAGGAAUAUUGGUCAAUGGACGGAAGUCUGAACCAGCCAAGUAGCGUGCAGGAUGACGGCCCUAUGGGUUGUAAACUGCUUUUGUAUGGGGAUAAAGUUAGGGACGUGUCCCUAUUUGCAGGUACCAUACGAAUAAGGACCGGCUAAUUCCGU
rnacentral:rRNA from 1 species